UUCGCCCUUAGAGUUUGAUCCUGGCUCAGAGCGAACGCUGGCGGCAGGCUUAACACAUGCAAGUCGAGCGGGCACCUUCGGGUGUCAGCGGCAGACGGGUGAGUAACACGUGGGAACGUGCCCUUCGGUUCGGAAUAACUCAGGGAAACUUGAGCUAAUACCGGAUACGCCCUUAUGGGGAAAGGUUUACCGCCGAAGGAUCGGCCCGCGUCUGAUUAGCUAGUUGGUGGGGUAACGGCCUACCAAGGCGACGAUCAGUAGCUGGUCUGAGAGGAUGAUCAGCCACACUGGGACUGAGACACAGCCCAGACUCCUACGGGAGGCAGCAGAAGGG
rnacentral:rRNA from 1 species